rnacentral:rRNA from 1 species
GGUUAAGCGAAUAAGCGUACACGGUGGAUGCCUAGGCAAUCAGAGGCGAUGAAGGACGUGCUAAUCUGCGAUAAGCGUCGGUAAGGUGAUAUGAACCGUUAUACCCGACGAUUUCCGAAUGGGGAAACCCAAUAUCCAAUGGAUAUUAUCAUUAACUGAAUACAUAGGUUAAUGAAGCGAACCGGGAGAACUGAAACAUCUCAGUACCCCGAGGAAAAGAAAUCAACCGAGAUUCCCCUAGUAGCGGCGAGCGAACGGGGAACAGCCCAGAGUCUUAAUCAACAGCAGCAUCAGGAGAACGGUCUGGAAAGUCCGGCAGUAAAGGGUGAUAGCCCCGUAUCUGAAGAUGCUGUUAUUGUGAACUCGACGAGUAGGGCGGGACACGUGUUAUCCUGUCUGAAUAUGGGGGGACCAUCCUCCAAGGCUAAAUACUCCUGAUUGACCGAUAGUGAACCAGUACCGUGAGGGAAAGGCGAAAAGAACCCCGGCGAGGGGAGUGAAAAAGAACCUGAAACCGUGUACGUACAAGCAGUAGGAGCCUCUUCGUGAGGUGACUGCGUACCUUUUGUAUAAUGGGUCAGCGACUUAUAUUCUGUAGCAAGGUUAACCGUAUAGGGGAGCCGUAGGGAAACCGAGUCUUAACUGGGCGAAUGAGUUGCAGGGUAUAGACCCGAAACCCGGUGAUCUAUCCAUGGGCAGGUUGAAGGUUGGGUAACACUAACUGGAGGACCGAACCGACUAAUGUUGAAAAAUUAGCGGAUGACUUGUGGAUGGGGGUGAAAGGCCAAUCAAACCGGGAGAUAGCUGGUUCUCCCCGAAAGCUAUUUAGGUAGCGCCUCGUGAACUCAUCUUCGGGGGUAGAGCACUGUUUCGACUAGGGGGUCAUCCCGACUUACCAACUCGAUGCAAACUGCGAAUACCGAAGAAUGUUAUCACGGGAGACACACGGCGGGUGCUAACGUCCGUCGUGAAGAGGGAAACAACCCAGACCGCCAGCUAAGGUCCCAAAGUCAUGGUUAAGUGGGAAACGAAGUGGGAAGGCUCAGACAGCCAGGAUGUUGGCUUAGAAGCAGCCAUCAUUUAAAGAAAGCGUAAUAGCUCACUGGUCGAGUCGGCCCGCGCGGAAGAUGUAACGGGGCUAAACCAUGCACCGAAGCUGCGGCAGCGACACUAUGUGUUGUUGGGUAGGGGAGCGUUCUGUAAGCCUGCGAAGGUGUACUGUGAGGUAUGCUGGAGGUAUCAGAAGUGCGAAUGCUGACAUAAGUAACGAUAAUGCGGGUGAAAAACCCGCACGCCGGAAGACCAAGGGUUCCUGUCCAACGUUAAUCGGGGCAGGGUGAGUCGACCCCUAAGGCGAGGCUGAAAAGCGUAGUCGAUGGGAAACGGGUUAAUAUUCCCGUACUGGUGGUAACUGCGAUGGGGGAACGGAGAAGGCUAGGUUGUCCGGGCGACGGUCGUCCCGGUUCAAGCAUGUAGGCAGAGUGAUUAGGCAAAUCCGGUCACUUAAUGCUGAGGUGUGAUGACGAGCCACUAAGGUGGUGAAGCAAUUGAUGCCCUGCUUCCAGGAAAAGCCUCUAAGCUUCAGGUUACCAACAAUCGUACCCCAAACCGACACAGGUGGUCAGGUAGAGAAUACUCAGGCGCUUGAGAGAACUCGGGUGAAGGAACUAGGCAAAAUGGUGCCGUAACUUCGGGAGAAGGCACGCUGGCGGUAAGUGAAGUCCCUCGCGGACGGAGCCGAAGCCAGUCGAAGAUACCAGCUGGCUGCAACUGUUUAUUAAAAACACAGCACUGUGCAAACACGAAAGUGGACGUAUACGGUGUGACGCCUGCCCGGUGCUGGAAGGUUAAUUGAUGGGGUUAUCCUUAGGGAGAAGCUCUUGAUCGAAGCCCCAGUAAACGGCGGCCGUAACUAUAACGGUCCUAAGGUAGCGAAAUUCCUUGUCGGGUAAGUUCCGACCUGCACGAAUGGCGUAAUGAUGGCCAGGCUGUCUCCACCCGAGACUCAGUGAAAUUGAACUCGCUGUGAAGAUGCAGUGUACCCGCGGCAAGACGGAAAGACCCCGUGAACCUUUACUAUAGCUUGACACUGAACAUUGAGCCUUGAUGUGUAGGAUAGGUGGGAGACUAUGAAGUGUGGACGCCAGUCUGCAUGGAGUCAACCUUGAAAUACCACCCUUUAACGUUUGAUGUUCUAACCUAGGUCCAUAAUCUGGAUCGGGGACCGUGUCUGGUGGGUAGUUUGACUGGGGCGGUCUCCUCCUAAAGAGUAACGGAGGAGCACGAAGGUUGGCUAAGCAUGGUCGGACAUCAUGCGGUUAGUGCAAAGGCAUAAGCCAGCUUGACUGUGAGAGUGACGGCUCGAGCAGGUACGAAAGUAGGUCUUAGUGAUCCGGUGGUUCUGAAUGGAAGGGCCAUCGCUCAACGGAUAAAAGGUACUCCGGGGAUAACAGGCUGAUACCGCCCAAGAGUUCAUAUCGACGGCGGUGUUUGGCACCUCGAUGUCGGCUCAUCACAUCCUGGGGCUGAAGUAGGUCCCAAGGGUAUGGCUGUUCGCCAUUUAAAGUGGUACGCGAGCUGGGUUUAGAACGUCGUGAGACAGUUCGGUCCCUAUCUGCCGUGGGCGUUGGAAGAUUGAGAGGGGUUGCUCCUAGUACGAGAGGACCGGAGUGAACGCACCACUGGUGUUCGGGUUGUCAUGCCAAUGGCAUUGCCCGGUAGCUAAGUGCGGAAGAGAUAACCGCUGAAAGCAUCUAAGCGGGAAACUUGCCUCGAGAUGAGUCUUCCCUGUCACCUAGAGUGACCUAAAGGAACGUUUAAGACUAAGACGUUGAUAGGCUGGGUGUGUAAGCGUAGCGAUACGUUGAGCUAACCAGUACUAAUGAACCGUGAGGCUUAACCUG